CUUUCCUCAGCUUGAGCUGUCACCCCCAAUAUAGCUUUGCCUUUACAUUUGAUUUGUGGUCCUGCCUCAUUUCUAUUGUUGGUCCCAAGAAUCUGACUCUGGAAACAUCUGGUGGUGAGUAUACGUGGGAUAAGUAUGAAGGGAGAGUUCAUAAUAAUAUAAAAUUACUUAAAAUGUUCCUAUCAUUCUGGCAUCUAGGAAUUCCGUUUCUAGAAAUUCUUCUUAAAAAGGCCUUAGUAAUUAAACAAUAGUGAAUCUGCAUUGAGGGUUUAGUGUGUAUAGAACACACAGGUACUAGCAAUACAGUCCUCACAGAGCUCUCUAAUUACUCUGAUUUUCAAAUGAGGAAGGUGAGUUUUAUUUUUUUUAAAGAUUUAUUUAUUUAUGAGAGACACACAGAGAGAGAGGCAGAGACAUAGGCAGAGGGAGAAGCAGGCUCCUCGCAGGGAGCUCGAUGUGGGACUCGAUUCUGGAUCCCGGGAUCACGCCCUGAUCCGAAGGUCAAUGCUCAACCGCUGAGCCACCCAGGUGUCCCUAAAGGUGAGUUUUGGAGAGUUUAGAGAGUUGAGGUCUUUUUACAUCACUCAUGAAGCUAGAAAGCAUCUGUGUUAACCUGAGGCACAGGCCGUGCCUUUUUGAAACCACUCUUAAUCCCAUUCGAUUAUUAUCAAAAUAAACCCAAUGGUGUUUAUGUGUAUAGUGAUAAAACACCUGUUGUUAAACGUUUAUUGUCUAAUUUAGGGGCAGGGUUAGGUGUGUGCUCCCACAAUCUUGCUAAGUUUUCUAAAUAAUUGAAAAUGUUCUAAAUAGGAUGUUGAGGAAAAGUAAGUCCAAUAAAUGCAGUAUUUUCUAAGGUUCACAUAUCUUUGGCUGAGGGAGUUACCCCUCAUUCGUUUCUAGACAAAUUGUCUAAGCCAUUGACUUUUCCUUGUAUUAAAGAAAAUAUUCUGGUAAGAACACCUAGGGUGGCAAAAGUAAACUUCAGUCACCAGAUAAAGGUCCCUACCGCCCCUACAGGCUGGCUCAGAGCUCCGCGUAUAGCCGUUGAGGAUGAAUCCAGUAGGAACUGCGGGGCUCGGUGCUUGAGGCUGAAUUCCGCGGGUGAUUUUUCCUUUCACCUGUGGGAUCACUUCAGAGCCCUGCGAUCUGAAUCCUUGACAUCCAGGAUCUGCUGUCGUCUCCUUCUCUCGCCAGGAGAGGGCGCCGCCGCCACAGCUAACGCGACUUGUAGAAGAAGGUGGUGCGCCGCCUCCCGCGACUUUCUGGGAGUUGUAGGCCGCUGGGAGAACACGCAUGCGUGCUGGAGACCCGGAAGCGGCUUGAGAGAUGAGAUUGAAAAUGACAGAAUAUUCCUGAGGAAG
rnacentral:lncRNA from 12 species